GCCACUUUAGCUCAGCAGGUAGAGCACCACCAUGGUAAGGUGGGGGUCACCGGUUCAAGUCCGGUAAGUGGCU
rnacentral:tRNA from 2 species